AUUGAACGCUGGCGGCAUGCCUUACACAUGCAAGUCGAACGGCAGCACGGGAGCAAUCCUGGUGGCGAGUGGCGAACGGGUGAGUAAUAUAUCGGAACGUGCCCAGUAGUGGGGGAUAACUGCUCGAAAGAGCAGCUAAUACCGCAUACGACCUGAGGGUGAAAGGGGGGGAUCGCAAGACCUCUCGCUAUUGGAGCGGCCGAUAUCAGAUUAGCUAGUUGGUGGGGUAAAGGCCUACCAAGGCAACGAUCUGUAGUUGGUCUGAGAGGACGACCGGCCACACUGGGACUGAGACACGGCCCAGACUCCUACGGGAGGCAGCAGUGGGGAAUUUUGGACAAUGGGCGCAAGCCUGAUCCAGCAAUGCCGCGUGCAGGAAGAAGGCC
rnacentral:rRNA from 1 species